GAGCGAACAGAUAAGGAGCUUGCUCCUUUGACGUUAGCGGCGGACGGGUGAGUAACACGUGGAUAACCUACCUAUAAGACUGGGAUAACUUCGGGAAACCGGAGCUAAUACCGGAUAAGAUUUUGAACCGCAUGGUUCAAUAGUGAAAGACGGCCUUGCUGUCACUUAUAGAUGGAUCCGCGCCGUAUUAGCUAGUUGGUAAGGUAACGGCUUACCAAGGCAACGAUACGUAGCCGACCUGAGAGGGUGAUCGGCCACACUGGAACUGAGACACGGUCCAGACUCCUACGGGAGGCAGCAGUAGGGAAUCUUCCGCAAUGGGCGAAAGCCUGACGGAGCAACGCCGCGUGAGUGAUGAAGGUCUUCGGAUCGUAAAACUCUGUUAUCAGGGAAGAACAAACGUGUAAGUAACUGUGCACGUCUUGACGGUACCUGAUCAGAAAGCCACGGCUAACUACGUGCCAGCAGCCGCGGUAAUACGUAGGUGGCAAGCGUUAUCCGGAAUUAUUGGGCGUAAAGCGCGCGUAGGCGGUUUUUUAAGUCUGAUGUGAAAGCCCACGGCUCAACCGUGGAGGGUCAUUGGAAACUGGAAAACUUGAGUGCAGAAGAGGAAAGUGGAAUUCCAUGUGUAGCGGUGAAAUGCGCAGAGAUAUGGAGGAACACCAGUGGCGAAGGCGACUUUCUGGUCUGUAACUGACGCUGAUGUGCGAAA
rnacentral:rRNA from 1 species